ACAUUUGUACACCCCCAAAUAUGAGCAUUACCCUUCGACCGAGUUUGUCUACUAUGAGCAUCGAUAUAAAUGUUGCAGCUGUACCUACAACCCCAGCUAUCAGCGCGGACAUGAUCAGGGAAACACUUUCGCUUAGGCCAAUAGUCCUGAAUAGUAUGGGAGCGUAAAAAGAAAUGACAUUGAUGCCUGUAACCUGUUGAAAAAAUGGUAUUGCUAUUGCCAUUACUAGUUGUGGCCUAUAUUUUCUUUGGAGGAUGUUCUUGAAUGGGUGUUUAAUUGAAACUGAACUUGCUUUAGUGAGAUCUUCAAGUUCUGCUUGGACAUCAGUUGUGCCUCGUAUGCGUUGUAGCAUAGCUUUAGCCUUUUGGUGGUCGUUGUGACGCUGAAUUAAGCUGUUGGGUGUUUCCGGAAGGAAAAAUGCUCCUACAGUUAGGAUCGCAGCUGGAACUGCUGCCAUUGCUAGGGAGAUUCGCCAACCCCAACCACCUUCAAUCUUUUCAGUACCGAAGUUUAUAGAGUUAGCUGAAAGUACCCCAAUUCCAACACAGAGUUGGAAGCCAUUGCUGAUUGCUCCUCUGUAUUG
rnacentral:misc_RNA from 1 species